AUCCACAUCAUAUUUUUAAUUCGGACCAAUCAGAGAUUGACUUUAUGCCACGUCACUUAUUUCCUGGAUCUGAACCGGGCCAAGAUCUAUGUAUCUGAGUCGAUGUGGCCCACUUCCAUACGAAUCCAUAGCUUGGCAAAGCGCGACUCUCCAGACUCCACUUCAUCUUCACCGUUUUUAGAUCGAAAAGUUAGCUUUCUGACUCCCAUUGUUCUUAGCUUUAUAUAAACUCCUUUACAGAAUCUCAUUUACUACCUUUACAAAAUCCUUUCCUCUUCAUGUCAACUAUAAGCUAUUCAAUCGCACAAACGGAACGUUUUCACCCGAGAGAGAACGCAGAACUCGGUGACCCUAUCAAACAUAUCCUUUGUUUCGUCUUCGAAUCGAUCUGAUAUUGUCAUCCAAGUCGUGGAUCUCAAGCCUAUCCAAUCUAUAUACGUAAGAUUUUAACUUUUAACUCUACAUCAGUGUUUAUCCUCCAUUGAUACCAUUUCUGGGUUCAAUAAUUUUGUCAACAUAUUGGAUUCUGGUUUCACCAUCGUCUAUGAUUCCAUGGUAUAGAUCUUGGUUUACAUGUUUUUAUUGUGUUUACAGGUUAGUGAGAAUGAUGGAAAGACAAAAGUUUCAUGCUGGCACUUGCGGAUGACUAAGAUCACAACAAUGACAAGUUAAAAUCUGGAGAGCCGGAGCUGAGAUCCUCUGAUCCUCAAAGUGUGGAUGCGGAGAAGCCUGUUGUUCUCACUGAUGAGCCUUUGAGGGAGGCCUCUCCUGAAAACGAUGUUAACCCUGAAGUCGAUGUAUUGGCCACACCUACAGUUACAGUUAAGAAAGACACUGCGACGGAGACUGCUAAAAAACGAGAACAAGAGAAGCAAAGGCUGGAGAAAUUAGCGGAAACAAGCCGGUUGAGUCGGAGUAGACAUCGCAGCCGUAGUAGGAGUUAUAGUCGAUCACCACCACUGAGGUUGUUAAUAAAGUUAUCAUUGCUUCGUGAUUGGGGUCUGUGAAGAUGACAAGGAAGUCACAAGACUUUUUGGGUUCUUAGAGCACUGAUUGGAUCGUUACCUACACAGAUUUCAUCAUCUCUUUCUUCCAAUUUGGUUUUCUUAACUUGGAAUUAUGAGAAGUGGUAGCGGAUGGUGAGAAGUCUAAUGUCGAGAAGUGGGGCCAAGAGUUGCAGAAUCGUGAAAACAUCCUUCCCUGGAUAAGGUUCACAUCUAACAAUACCCUUCAAAACUAAAUUUGCUAAUCCCCAAUAUCGAGAUCAUAUAUUGGAGUUGUCAAGAACGUGUAAGCUGAUACGUAUGGAUGUAUACUAUGCAGGUAAUUAUUCUGGUUGGGUCCAAGUUCUUCUUCUCAAUGUGUUGUAUGUUUAAAAUGAUUUCACUUCUACCUCUAGGAUCAUCUUUCCAACUGUUCGAUCCUGAGAUAUUGUGCAGCAUGUGAAACCAGAGUAAGGGAACCAAUAUAAUGGUAUUUGGUUCUAUCUUUUUUGCUUCAUCAUUUUUUUUUUCUGGUAAAGAGUUACAUUGAGUUUAUGUUCAUCUGUUUUUUUUUUCUGGUGAAGAGUUACAUUGAGUUUAUGUUCCACUAAGCUGAACAUUUAAAACUUCUUUUCAGGUGGUUAUAUUACAGAUGAAUGAACAAGACUGCAUCCUGAUCUCAUGUCUUUACCCUUGGAAGACGAGAAUAAAAUUAUAUCUAGGAUGGAUUACAAAGGCAAGAGAAAUGUAAUCGACCUAUAUGCAGGUAGAUUGAGAUUGUGAUUCUUCAUGCUCUUUCACAAAAAAAAUUAACUUUUUGGACAUUCUAUGAAACUGUUUUACAAUUGUA